CGGUGCCGCGCAAACUUAGCUAAACAACGCCAUAAUUGCCUUCAUUACUUAAAUUACUGAAAUUAUUUAUUCAAAAAGCUGGCAACAUUUAGGCGCACGGAGCUCCGCCCCCGGCGUGUUUGCGGACCAAUAGGGCGGAGGCGCAGCGCUGAGGGAGGGGCGCCCGGCAAUAUGGCGGACAGAGCGGCAACCUUCUUGAGGCGAACGCGUCGGGAACUCGCCGACGCCGACGCUGCGGAGUGCUGCGAGUACGUCUCACUGAGUCGACUACACGUGUUUAAUAGUGUUUAAUGAAGCGGUACCGCUCGAUUAAUUGGUGCCGGAGUUAAGAUUCAUCGAGAGAAAGCGUAAUGUCAUUUAUAAUCUGCUCUGAUGUUGUUCCGACGGGAACUUCCCGACGGCGGAAAACGAAACAAAAUAUCUUUAUAAAUUGAUAACGUAAUACAAACGACGAAACGACUCUACAAGUGAAAUAAAAUCAAUGGAAAAAGUCAAAUAAAAAUGAGAAACCAUCAAGACAAUUGUAUCAAUUUUAAUUAGUUGUAGUUGCUUCUCUAGCAUAGAUUGGUGAUCCAGCAUAGAAAAAUUGACUAUAGAAUAUAUGAACAUAUAACAUAAA